UACGUAGGGUGCGAGCGUUAAUCGGAAUUACUGGGCGUAAAGCGUGCGCAGGCGGUUUUGUAAGCCAGAUGUGAAAUCCCCGGGCUCAACCUGGGAACUGCAUUUGGGACUGCAAGGCUAGAGUACGGCAGAGGGGGGUAGAAUUCCUGGUGUAGCAGUGAAAUGCGUAGAUAUCAGGGGGAAUACCGAUGGCGAAGGCAGCCCCCUGGGUCGAUACUGACGCUCAUGCACGAAAGCGUGGGGAGCAAACAGG
rnacentral:rRNA from 1 species